GUCCAGACUCCUACGGGAGGCAGCAGUGAGGAAUAUUGGUCAAUGGGCGGAAGCCUGAACCAGCCAAGUCGCGUGAGGGAAUAAGGCCCUACGGGUUGUAAACCUCUUUUGUCGGGGAGCAAAGAGAGUCACGUGUGACUCAUUGAGAGUACCCGAAGAAAAAGCAUCGGCUAACUCCGUGCCAGCAGCCGCGGUAAUACGGAGGAUGCGAGCGUUAUCCGGAUUUAUUGGGUUUAAAGGGUGCGCAGGCGGAGGUGCAAGUCAGCGGUCAAAUUGCGGGGCUCAACCCCGUACUGCCGUUGAAACUGGUUUUCUUGAGUGAGUGAGAAGUAUGCGGAAUGCGUGGUGUAGCGGUGAAAUGCAUAGAUAUCACGCAGAACUCCGAUUGCGAAGGCAGCAUACCGGCGCCCAACUGACGCUCAGGCACGAAAGCGUGGGUAUCGAACAGGAUUAGAUACCCCGGUA
rnacentral:rRNA from 1 species